GGAAGACGAAAAUUCUAUUUAAUGCAGAAAGAUCCAUUCACAUCAUGAUUGUUUUCUCUUUGGACUGAGAAUUCAGAGCUCUCUUGCCUUCUUAUAUUUCAAAGCCACCCCUCUCUCUCUCUGCCUACCAAACCCGUUAAAAAAUUGCAAAGUUUUUUGCCAAGAAUAUUUGCUAUUUUGCCCCCAUAGUUAGCUCCGUAGAACGUAGUGAUCUUUUUUGUUUUUAGCUGUGAUUGUGAUUUGUGAUUACUUUAUUUGUUUAAAUCCUACGUGAUCUGGGUUAUUUCACCUUUUGACAUAGAGAAAGAGUCGUAAAAAGACUUGCUUUUUAUUUAUUUCUUGUGAGAUUCUCUUCCUUUUUGAUCUACAUCUUCACGGGU
rnacentral:misc_RNA from 1 species